UGUUCUGUGGCUUAGUUGGUUAAAGCGCCGGUCUAGCGAAUACGGAGUCGUGGGUUCGAAUCCCACCAAAACGC
rfam:Aedes albopictus isolate Foshan contig70185, whole genome shotgun sequence.